AUUGAACGCUGGCGGCAUGCCUUACACAUGCAAGUCGAACGGCAGCACGGGUGCUUGCACCUGGUGGCGAGUGGCGAACGGGUGAGUAAUACAUCGGAACGUACCUUAUCGUGGGGGAUAACGCAGCGAAAGCUGUGCUAAUACCGCAUACGCCCUGAGGGGGAAAGCGGGGGAUCGCAAGACUUCGCGCGAUUAGAGCGGCCGAUGCCUGAUUAGCUUGUUGGUGGGGUAAAAGCCCACCAAGGCGACGAUCAGUAGCUGGUCUGAGAGGACGAUCAGCCACACUGGGACUGAGACACGGCCCAGACUCCUACGGGAGGCAGCAGUGGGGAAUUUUGGACAAUGGGGGCAACCCUGAUCCAGCAAUGCGGCGUGAGUGAAGAAGGCCUUCGGGUUGUAAAGCUCUUUUGUCAGGGAAGAAACACCGGCUCUAACACAGUCUGGAAUGACGGUACCUGAAGAAUAAGCACCGGCUAACUACGUGCCAGCCGCCGCGGUAA
rnacentral:rRNA from 1 species